CCCCCACCGGGAGAGGUUUUUUCGCCCCACUUGGGGAUUGAGACCCCGGCCCCAAAUUUCUUAGGGGGGGGCCGCCGGUAGGGAUUUUUCCCACAAGGGAAGAAAUUUUUGAAGGAAACAACCGCCGCCUGAAUGAAAGAAGGGUUUUGGGUUCGUAAAAUUCUGUUGUUAAAGAAGAACAUAUCUGAGAGUAACUGUUCAGGUAUUGACGGUAUUUAACCAGAAAGCCACGGCUAAUUACGUGCCAGCAGCCGCGGUAAUACGUAGGUGGCAAGCGUUGUCCGGAUUUAUUGGGCGUAAAGCGAGCGCAGGCGGUUUUUUAAGUCUGAUGUGAAAGCCUUCGGCUCAACCGAAGAAGUGCAUCGGAAACUGGGAAACUUGAGUGCAGAAGAGGACAGUGGAACUCCAUGUGUAGCGGUGAAAUGCGUAGAUAUAUGGAAGAACACCAGUGGCGAAGGCGGCUGUCUGGUCUGUAACUGACGCUGAGGCUCGAAAGUAUGGGUAGCAAACAGGAUUAGAUACCCUGGUAGUCCAUACCGUAAACGAUGAAUGCUAAGUGUUGGAGGGUUUCCGCCCUUCAGUGCUGCAGCUAACGCAUUAAGCAUUCCGCCUGGGGAGUACGGCCGCAAGGCUGAAACUCAAAGGAAUUGACGGGGGCCCGCACAAGCGGUGGAGCAUGUGGUUUAAUUCGAAGCUACGCGAAGAACCUUACCAGGUCUUGACAUACUAUGCAAAUCUAAGAGAUUAGACGUUCCCUUCGGGGACAUGGAUACAGGUGGUGCAUGGUUGUCGUCAGCUCGUGUCGUGAGAUGUUGGGUUAAGUCCCGCAACGAGCGCAACCCUUAUUAUCAGUUGCCAGCAUUAAGUUGGGCACUCUGGUGAGACUGCCGGUGACAAACCGGAGGAAGGUGGGGAUGACGUCAAAUCAUCAUGCCCCUUAUGACCUGGGCUACACACGUGCUACAAUGGAUGGUACAACGAGUUGCGAACUCGCGAGAGUAAGCUAAUCUCUUAAAGCCAUUCUCAGUUCGGAUUGUAGGCUGCAACUCGCCUACAUGAAGUCGGAAUCGCUAGUAAUCGCGGAUCAGCAUGCCGCGGUGAAUACGUUCCCGGGCCUUGUACACACCGCCCGUCACACCAUGAGAGUUUGUAACACCCAAAGUCGGUGGGGUAACCUUUAGGAACCAGCCGCCUAAGUGGACAGAGAUUGGA
rnacentral:rRNA from 1 species